ensembl:lncRNA novel transcript
GCAAGAUGAGCAACAAAAGAAGAAUCCCAAGAUAAUCACGUAAUUAUGUUAGGAGAGAUUCUCAGUUCAAUCUAAUCCUGUCUAAACAGGCUGAAAGAAAUUAGUCACUCAGAAUUAUAUAAAAGGCUCUAUUGAGGACACAGAAAGAAGAGGCCCAUCUGUAAACCAGGAAAAGGACCCUCAUCAAACUGAGCUCUGCCAACACACUGAUCUUGGACUUCCCAGCCUCCAGAAUUCUUCUGAUAGUUGCUUUUGGGGAUCGAUGAAUCGCUUGAGAAUCUCUGAUUGGGCAAAAGGCCUAAGUGUCUAUAAGAAGCUGAGGAGCUGGAGUGGGAGCAGAAACGUCUGGCAGGGUGAAUGGAGGUGAGGAAGAGGCAGAGGACUGAAGGAGGAUAUAGCAAAGGAUGCCAAAAGCCAAAUGGAAGAUCAAAGGUGGUAAAAAGAAAAGGUGGAAAAGCAGAGCUGGAAGAAGUGGGAUUAAUCCAUAUGGUAAAGAAGAAAAUAUAGAUAUUUGGACCGAAGAGGUUAAAAAAGUCAAUGGAUGACACCAUUCUCUGAAGAAAAUUAAAGAGGAAUCCAAACUCAUUGUAUGAGGCCAGCAUUACGCUGAUACCUGAUCCACAGAAGGACACUAGAAGAAAAGAAAAUCACAGGCUAAUUUCCUUGAUGAACAUAGAUGCAAGGAUCCUCAACAAAAUACCAGCAAACCAAAUUCAACAGCACAUUAACAGUGUCACACAUGAGCAACUGGAAUUUAUCCCUGGGACGGAAGGAUGGUUCAACACUGGCCUAUUGUUUUUAAGGCUUUCUGGCUCUGGAAACUGUAAACUCUUGCCUCCAAAAUGACCUCAGGAGUCUCCCAGGAAUUACAGGAGACUAUUCCAAGGUGCAAUAAUUUAUCUCUCAAAGAGAUAAAAGUUUAAUUUUAAUUUUUCUUUCUUCUGCUUUACUGAAUUAAUUUAUGAAAAUUCUAUCUGGACUUUAUAGCCUCUUUUACAGACUGCUUACAAUAUGCAGUGUACUUUAGAUGUGCUUAUUCAGUAGUUAAACUCCUUUUACUG